CUCUCUCUCUCUCUUAUAUUUUCUUAACAACUUUCUUGAAACUUCUCUUUUUCUCUCCUUCAAAUCUAUACGCACCCCUUUUGUCUAUUUCUUUUUUUCUUUUCUAAUUCUCGUAUUUUUCUUGGUAUUGUGUUGGGUCUGGAUUUCUUGGUCUAGUUUUAAAUUUAAUUCUUGGUAUUGUGUUUGUAAAUCUAACCCAUUGUCCGGUUUGGGCUAGAUCUGUGUUAUGUCUCUUACAAAUCUUUCAUUUGAAUGAGUUUUGCUUAGCGACUCAUGGUUUUUGUUUGACUGGUUGUAGAAAUAAAACGUAUGGGACAAGUUCUUGCUGUUGUUGAUGGCAUAUUGAAUCUUUUUGAAAGAUGCGGUUAAUAGGCUUAGGGGUCGUUUGGUACGGCGGACUGUCAUGGACUGGACUAAAUCCUGGGACUGUCUUGGAUUAGCUCGGAUUGGACUAAGCUGGAUUAAUUUCUAAUCUACGUUUGGUGAUGCGUCGAACUAAGAAGCUGGAUUGUAAAAAUAGUGAAGACCUAUGUUUGGUGCUGUG